AUUGAACGCUGGCGGCAGGCCUAACACAUGCAAGUCGAGCGAGCGGCGGACGGGUGAGUAAUGUCUGGGAAACUGCCUGAUGGAGGGGGAUAACUACUGGAAACGGUAGCUAAUACCGCAUACCAUCAGAUGUGCCCAGAUGGGAUUAGCUAGUAGGUGGGGUAACGGCUCACCUAGGCGACGAACCCUAGCUGGUCUGAGAGGAUGACCAGCCACACUGUAACUGAGACACGGGCCAGACUCCUACGGGAGGCAUCAGGGGGGAAUAUUGCCCAAUGGGCGCAAGCCUGAUGCAGCCAGGCCGCGUGUGUGAAGAAGGCCUUCGGGUUUUAAAGCACUUUCGGCGGGGAGGCGUUACCCGUAGAAGAAGCACCGGCUAACUCCGUGCCAGCAGCCGCGGUAAUAC
rnacentral:rRNA from 1 species